AGGGCCAUAGCUCAGCUGGUUAGAGUACUACCUUGACAUGGUAGGGGUCAUGAGUUCAAAUCUCAUUGGCCCUACCA
rnacentral:tRNA from 1 species